UUUGAGGAUUAAUGGGGACUUUUUUGUGUCCAGAAGGAAAACAAGGCUGACAUAAGAUGAUUCUUGAUAAGGUAAUAAUCACUCACUAUCAUCAAAGUGUAAGUACUUCAGCCAGAGACUGCUGAGCCCCAGGAAAGGGCUAUUAGGCCUUGUUAAGGCGAUCAGCCGCUUCCGUCAUUAUUUGUGUGCCUGGCAUUUCACAAUCAGAACUCGGCAUCCGUGUUAGGAGGCCGCUGGAAUUCACGAAUUUGGACGGACAGAUUGGCUGGAUGACGACAAAGCGGGAAGGCUGUCUUUCUGCGCUGGACCUCAGCAGAGAGUGAGAAACACCGUGACGCACCCACGCUAGCCUGGCGCGCUGUGCUCGAUGAUGCUUCCCAAGCCGGCGCUGGGCGCGGAGAAAGGGAUCCGGGGAAAGAUGUGCUUCUCAGUAAAGGGACAUCAGAGCUCAUAUGGCAACUUAGUGACCGAGGCACCUGUCACCAGUGACUGUCCUUACGGCCUCGAUGCGGACUGGCUCAAGAGCAGGACGUUGUCGGGAGGACUCUAAUCCUAAAAGGAGAGCCCUCCUGACGCCCCCAGAGUCUGCACUGGGCCCCCCAGGUGCUCCCGCGGCAGCCCGCCUGCCUCCACUGUGGGCUCCCACGGGGUCUGUGCUGUCUCGCAGGAGGAGCUACGUCUUUUGUCUUGCCGUUCCGAUGUCUCGUGCCCAGUAAGAUGUGAGAUGCCCAAGCUGCAGGCAGACCUGAACACAUGCUUCACGAAGCUUCACUUUGUUCGCUCAUAGAAGACAGUUUCGAUUGAAAAUCUUGGAAAGAAACAGCUUGACCAGGAGAAGAUUUGCAAAUAGUCUUUUAUUUCACUUCCGCCAUAUGGUCUGUGCCCAUAUGCUAAUCUUCAGGUCCUGCUCUCAGUGACCCUACCCCCUCGUCCUGGGACUCUCUUGUUGACACAAACCAGUCACACACCUAAGACGCUCGCAGUUUAUUCACUUCCACGCAACUUUACUGAAUACGUACUCCUCACAUUCACUGUUGUUGAGAUUAGGUCACGCGGUCAGGGUAUCUGUAUCCAAUGUUUUUUUCUUAUUCUUUCAUUUCUUCAACAAAUACAAAGCUUUC
rnacentral:lncRNA from 12 species